AAAGGAAUUGACGGGGGCCCGCACAAGCGGUGGAGCAUGUGGUUUAAUACGACGCAACGCGUAGAACCUUACCAGGACUUGACAUGCAGCUGCACGCCUCGGGAAACCGAGGAAGCCUUCGAGGGUGCUGCACAGGUGUUGCAUGCCUGUCGUCAGCUCGUGCCGUGAGGUGUUUGGUUAAGUCCAUCAACGAGCGCAACCCUCAUUCUUAGUUGCCAGCUUUCUGCGCAAGCAGAGAAGGAACUCUAAGGAGACUGCCCCGGCAACGGGGAGGAAGGAGAGGAUGACGUCAAGUCAUUAUGGCCCUUAUGUCCUGGGCUACACACGUGCUACAAUGGCCGGUACAGAGGGUCGCCAACCCGCGAGGGGGAGCCAAUCCCAGAAAGCCGGCCCCAGUUCGGAUUGGAGUCUGCAAUUCGACUCCAUGAAGUUGGAAUCGCUAGUAAUGGCGCAUCAGCAAUGGCGCCGUGAAUACGUUCCCGGGCCUUGUACACACCGCCCGU
rnacentral:rRNA from 1 species